rnacentral:lncRNA from 1 species
GGCGGUAGGAAAGGUGUUAGGAGCGCGCGUUGCUGCGCGGGCAACGAGGCGAGCGCGCGGCGCGAGGUUAGGGAUGGCCCCGACACGUGGGGCCCACCUGCCAGAGAGAGGGAGAGAGGGAGAGAGGAGGGGAGAGGAGAGGGAGUCGCGGGCUGGGCCGGGAAGGGUAGGGAGAGGCGAUUUUCUUUUUUUUACUUUAGUAAUUUAUUUGUUUAGUGAAAUAUAUGUAUGUAUUAUUUAUAAUUAUUAUUUCAUAUGUGAUUAUGUUAAAUGCUUGUUAUUUCAUAUGCUAAAUACAUAUUAUUUUAUAUGUGAUUAUGUUGUGUAGAAAUAUAUGUAUGUAUUAUUUGUAUAGAAAUAUAUGU